rnacentral:lncRNA from 1 species
UCUGUCUCAAAAAAAAAAAAAAAAGGAAUAAAUUCAGUUUAUGUAAUAAUUAUAGUAUUAUCCUACUUCAUCUUUGGUGACUUCUGAUAGUUCGAGGUUCUCUAGGAAUUGGCAUAUUUUAUUUAUGUUGUUGAACAUAUGUGAUUUGUUGGUAAUACUUUUUUUAAGUUAUGCUUUUCAUUUUUGUGGUUUGUGUAGUAAUAUCUGCUUUUAUUGUCGACAUUGGUAAUUUGUGUCUACUUUCUUCUUUUUCUUGUGAAUAUCAGUGGAGAUUGAUCAAUUUUUAAAGUCUUUUCAACUAACUAUGUUUUGAUUUCUAAAAUUUUCUCUAGGAUUUUAAAUUUAUAAUUUUAUUGAUUUUUGUUUCUGUCUUCAUUUUACCCUCCAUUUGCUUAGUUAUAGUUCCUUAGGAUGAAUGUUCUGGCUAUUUACUUGAAAUCAUUUUUCUUUUGUAAUAUGAGCAUUUAAUAUUAAUUUCUAUGUAUUUAAUUAGCUGCAUAUCACAUACACUUAUUUGUAAUAUUUUCAUUUUAAUUCAGUUAAAAAUAUUUUCUAAUUUUCCUUGACAUUUUCACUUUGUACUAUAGAUUCUUAAGAAAGUAUUAAAUUUCCAAGUGUUUAGUGAUUUUUCCUGCUAUCUUUCUUUUACCAAUUUCUAGUUUAAUUCUAUAAUGUUCAGAGAACAUACUCUGUAUGAGUUCUAUUAUCUAAAUGACGUAAGAUUUGUUCUAUUAUCCAGAAUAUGGUCUACUUUGGUGCUGUGGUUUGAAUGUGUCCUCAAAAAGGGAAGUGUUGGAAACUUAAUCCUCAAUGCAACAGUGUUGAGAGGUGGGGCCUAAUGGGAUGUGUUUAGGUCACCAGGGCUCUACCGUCAUUAAUGAAUUAAUACCACUUAUAAAAGGGUUUGAGGCUGUAAAUGUUCUCUCACUCUCUCACACAUGCUCUCUUUUCUUUUUUCCUUACAUCAUGGGAUGAGGCAGCAUGAAGGCCCUCACCAGAUGUAGCCUUCUCAACAUUGAACUUCUCAGCCUCCAGUACUGUAGUAAAUAAAUACCUGCUUUUUAAAAAUUACUUAGUGUCAAGUAUUUUGUUAUAGCAGCACAAAAUAGAAUAAGACAAGGCAAAUUAAAGGUUUAGUAAGCUAAGUGUUCAAGAACACAUGACAAAAACGUGCCUGCUACUAUUGUUGGGUGGCAUUCUAUAAAUGAAAUUAAAUCCAGUUGGUGAGAGUUGAAGUCUCCAACUACAAUUGUAGAUUUUGUCUAGUUCCUUUUGCUAUGUCAGUUUUUCCUUCCUUUAUGUCUUCUUGAUUUUUUUUCAUUUAAAAUUGUGUAAUUUCCCUAUAUGUUUUUUGUAACUUUCUUUGCUCUCAAUUCUACUUUGACUGACAUUUUUAUAAACCAUCAGAUUUUUGGUCUUGUUUGGAUUAUUGUUGGCAUAGUGUGACAUUUGUGACACACACACACACACACACACAUAUAUUUCCCUCUAUUUUCAUUUUAAACUACCAGUAUCAUUACAUUAGAAGUCAGUUUUUUAUAUAUAGAAUCUAGUUGGAUCAUGAUUUUUAAAAAUUCAUUCUGAUAAUAUGUGUGAGUUAAUUUGUGUGUCCAGACAAUUUACACUUAAUAUGAUUAUUGCUAUGUUUGAUGUAGCUCUACAUUUUUUUAUUUACCUCUUUUUACUUGUCUUUCACCUUUCUUAUUUUCUUUUUGUUGAUUUACACAUUUUAUUUUUUCAUUUUAAUUUAUUAUUGGGUGUUUGACCAUAUCCCUUUGUAUAGUUUUGGAUUUUUUUGUUUUGUUUUUAUUUUGUUUUGCUUUUGUGAUUUCUCUAGUUUUUACAGUGUACAUAUUUAGCUCUUUAUGAUUCAUUUUAAAUCAGCAUUUUACCACUUCAAGUGGAAGAUUGGAAACUUACCAUGAUAUAGGUAUUUUACUUGCCUUUUUGUAUAUUGUAGAUAUCAUAUAUUACAUCUACAUACAUUGCAAACUCCAUUAGUAAAUAGGUUUUUCAUUCCCACGUGUGUUGAGAUUUUCCUGAUCUUCCCUAUGUCUAAAAAUUUUUAAUUGUAUCCUGCAUAUUUUGAAUGUCAUGUUAUGAGCCAUUUGGUCUUGUUUAAAUUAUAUGUACUUGUUUGUUGUAGUAGGCAAUUAACUGAUAUUGAUUUUGGUCACAAGUUCCAACCUGUAUGCUGUGGCUCCAAUUUCAGUUUACUUUUUCAAGAUUUUCUGUGCUAUUUAAAUCUUUCCUGUAUGCGGGUCAUCCAGUGGCAAGUCUGGGACAUAAGUGAUAGUUUAUAUCUGUGUCCAGUUUUCAAAGUGUGCAGUUUAAGAUCAGAUCCAUGCAUACUCAAAUCAGGGUUGAACCCACAAGAUUAACAAGCAAGUUUAUAGAUCACUUUCCUAAGCUUUUCUCUUUCUGUAAUCUUUUUGGUUCUUUCUGAUUUUCUUGGGGCUUGCUUUUAUAUCCCCCAGUCAGGGAGCUGGACUGUAUUUAACCCUAUUUGUUAAAUUCUUAAUUCCAUUGCAACCAUUGUUGAGGCCAAAUGGCAGAAGGACAAAAAUAGUAAAAGCAAUGAACGUUUACCUCAUCUUAAUACCACAACUUCUCUGAUCUAAGAACUUUCCCCUCCUUAAGAGUUUUAGGUAACUGCAGGCCCAUGCUACAGCCAUCAUUACCAUCCAAAGUCCUCUUUCCCACUCCUCAAACUGGAACCAGAAGACAUCUCCUGCAGCUCUCUCUUUCUUCAUUGGUACUCACUUCCAGGUUUUAAGCAGCUCUGAGAUCAGGUUGGCAGAUACCACACAGGUAGAUAUAAAUGAUAAGUUCACAGUCAUUUCAGUGUUACUUUGUAUUUUGACUUUCUUUUCUAAUCCAUCUGCUAAUAUUUAGGUUUUGGAGUCUUCUAGUACUUGCUCCAUGCAUCUAUCCAGAUUUUAUAACAGUAUUCAGUGAAAGAGUCAGGAUAAGGAGUGCUUACUUUAUGUUGCCUAAAACUAAAAUUUCAAUGAUUUUAUUUUAAUUUAAAAACUUUAAUUAAAUUCUUUGUUUUGUGGAAUACCUUCCACAUAGUAAGUAUUUACUGCAUAUUAGUUGGAAAGAAUUUAGCUGUUUUAUAGAAAUGAAAACGUCACUACUGAAGUUAUUAAAUCUAUUCAGCAGUGGGCUUCCCGAUUUCAAUGAUGCAACUGUGGCUCCAUGGAUGCAAUAAAUUGUCUUUCAUCUGAUGGACCUCCUUUUAGAACGCUGCAGUCAUGUCUCCUAAGGUUUAUUUGUAGUGCUCAUAGCUGAGUGACAUAAUGUCAUCAAAAGAUUAAUUAAGCAAGUGAGAUGGCAGUCCCAACUUCUGCCACACUGAUUUGGAUUUCAUACCUUGUACAUAUUACCUUGACUGGAAAGGGAAUGAGGAGGUAGAGGAGCUAUUUUUUGUUUAAUUUUUCAAUGCAGAGUUGCUCUUUCAUUUUUCCUCCAUUUCUCCAAGAUUUUCCACUUUUCGGAGAUUGUUGAGGACUGACAAACUCAGUGUUACAAUGUGCAUUUCCCAUGUCAGCCAGAGGCUACUGCCUGAAGGUCUCUGACAGAAAUCAGUGUGCUCAGAAUGCUGCCAGGCCCCAGGCAGGAAAGGUACAUACCUCUGUGUACCCUGUGGAGCACCCAGAGCUGCCAGGAACAAACGAGUAUGAGAGAAAAAUGCUAGUCACAGAGGUAUUUAGCUUCUAUUUAAAGGGUCCAUAUAAGCAAGACAUAUUAAAAGGUCAUAAAAUAUAUACAAAGUUUUCAGGGUCCUAGUUUUUGAAAUAUUCUAUUUUUUGUGGUUUUUGACAAAGUCUAAUAUUAUUCUGUAAGAUAGUUUGAUGUUUCAAGAAACGUUAUAACAGCGUAUUAUUCUUUAAAAUGACAAUCAUUUUGAAGAGGGCAAAUAGCUGGCUAUGUGAAAUUCCAAAGAAACAACCACACAUCUGUCCACAUGAAAAACAAGUUGCUGGAAUGUAUAAGUAUUUUGAUGGAUUUUAGAUUUAUCUCCUCAUAUGCUAUCAAUUUUGAGAUUUUAACGCCAAACUAGCAUUUCUCUUUAUUGACAACAAUUGUUAUAAUAAUCAGUUGCAUGUAUGUGUGAGAAAGAGACACAAUAAGUAAAAUAAUUGUAUGACUUUAUACCUUGUCAUUCUUUUUGAAUUUUAGACAUGGUUUCCCUUUAUCGCUGAAGCUGGAAUACAGGGAUUAUAGCUCACUGCAGCCUUCGGCUCCUGGGCUCAAGUGAUAAUCUUGCCUCGGUAUCCCAAGUUGCUGAGUACCUGAGACUAAAGGUUUAUACUCACCUGUCCAUCAUGUGGAAGCUGGAGAGUCACUUCUUUUGAUAAUUCAAGAAUCUUGGGAUACUUCAGAGAACAAUUCUCAAACAACAACUUCAAACUGACAGACAGACUUCAAGGAACUAUGCAGGAUAGAUGGGUGGCCAAAUGACAAGCUUGGAAAGCUACAAGGGAGUGCUACCUGCUCCUCUCCGUCCAUUCUUUGCUCUCUACUCUGAACUCCAUGUCUUCCACCAAGGUUCACUUCACCACUGUGUCAUUAAAAUGUUCAGUACCAAUAUGCAGACUGUCCGCAAUGAUAGGUAUAAACUGUUCAAGAAGACACCCAUUUCUAGCAAAAUUUCUGACUCCUUUCAAAAUAAAAAUUGGCCCUCUUACAGUAAUUUCACACUGAUAUAUGGCAGGGAUUAAUCCAAAAUGCCUGCAUAUAUUCAGGAUAGCUUUCCUGAGUUGAUUGGCCUUUGACUGUGAAAUUUUAACUACAAAAAUCAAGUUUAUGAAUCAUAUUUGUAUGUACAAAGACAUUCACUGUCAACUGACCUGUGAAAACAUAAAUCAUAUUACCAGUAUGGGGAUUAUUAUUAUAAAAGAAAUCUUUAUGUAGAGAAGAAUUACUAAUGAG